AGACCAUCAAGCCUCCAGCGACAAAGGGAUGAGAGAGGACAGAUUAUUCCUCCAAUCAGGAAGCAACUACAUCCACUUCUCUUGAGACGAGGACCAGUGGAUUGGGAUCCACUCCAGUUUUCAGCAUUGACGAAGAAAUAGAUCCUCCUAGCUGACUUCGAGGAGUGUGGAAAUCCUGCUGUGUCUGGUGCAUCACGCAGUUGGAAUGUGAGGAAGGAACUCUCACAGGAGAGGUGGAGGGAGUCCAGGCCUGAGAUUGUAGAUUCUCUGCUGGCUGCAGAGCGUGCUUCUCAGAAGAUCUGUCAGCCAUGCAAUCUGAAAAAGGCUAUUCUGCGAUGUAGAGCCCAAAACAGCUUUACUGCGAAGACUUCGAUGUCUCUACAUAUGCCAUGUUCCCCUUGCACAACAGAGAGUCCAUGAUCGAGGGAUUCUACACGCCCCUUCCUCCAACCACAGCCAUAUCUCUCCACA